rnacentral:rRNA from 1 species
CCUAAAGAGUAUACAACUAUCCAUCCUUCUCUGAAAGUACCCACUCUUGUCUGGAAAGCUAAGCAUGGUUGGAUCUGAUUAGUACUUGGAAAGAAGAUUUGAGUAGAGAAUAGAAGUUUCUUAGCU